rfam:Nitrospirae bacterium GWC2_57_9 gwc2_scaffold_7824, whole genome shotgun sequence.
CUCCGUACAAGGUAAACCCAUUGCGAGAUGGGGGCACAAAGCCGACGGGUCCCUCCGGGACGGCCGGGCUGCCGGA